rnacentral:lncRNA from 1 species
GUUCGGGAGUGGGGGAUCCCCAGGUAUAAGCCAGUUGAGGCCUUCUGGACGGAGAGGAAGAGGCAGAACCAUUUGUCCCACCUUCCAGGAUCCCGGAUAGCAGGAGAGAUAAAGCUGUCCAUGGAUCGCCUUUGGAGAGGAUUUGCAAAGGCCAAUGUGGUGCUGGUGACUACAGCAUGAAGAGUUCCAGAAUCUCCCUAUGUUCCUGGCUUAAAAGGAACUUGGGAUCCCAGGAGUUGAGGAAAUCCAGAGAUGUUAAGAUUUUUACAGACCUAUCACCUUUGAGAACAGUGUUCAUGAGAUGGAGACACUGACUGAAAACUACUCUUUGAGUAUUUUGGGAGAGAGUGGAACAGUUAGCAAUUUGAUUGUGCUUGGUAUCAAGUUUCUUAUGAAAAUCUCCCACCCCCAAAGCACAGAUUCUAAUAAAACAAAAUUAUAAAAUAAGACUUUCCUGCUC